CUGAGAAAUAAAAUUUUAACUGAAUAGGCAACUUUGAUCAAGAACCUUGUUUAACAUUAAAUAUACAAGAGCAAUUAAUAAAUCAUCCUCUUUCACAAUAUUAAAAUAUAUUGCACGGAAAUGGUCCUUAUUCCAGAUAAGAAAACCUUAGUAACCAUGGCAACACUUGUUUUAUAACUCAUCAAGUAAAUUGUAUCAAUACUUUUUUCCAACAGGGACUUUAAACAGAAAACUUUACCAGUUUACCAUGAACAAAGCACAUAUUUGUUGAUCAGUUAAGUAUGAUUAAAUCAGUGCAAUUUCAGCAGAAUCCCAUGU